rnacentral:rRNA from 1 species
UACGUAGGGGGCAAGCGUUGUCCGGAUUUAUUGGGCGUAAAGAGCGUGUAGGCGGCCGUACAGGUCAGCUGUGAAAACUCGAGGCUCAACCUCGAGACGUCGGUUGAAACCGUACGGCUAGAGUCCGGAAGAGGAGAGUGGAAUUCCCGGUGUAGCGGUGAAAUGCGCAGAUAUCGGGAAGAAUACCCGUGGCGAAGGCGGCUCUCUGGGACGGUACUGACGCUGAGACGCGAAAGCGUGGGAGCGAACAGG